CUUCCCCUUGGGAACACAGAAAACCUCCAUGGGUGAAAUGUUCUGCUUUUACCCCAUUAGAAGGACAGUAAGACGGUCAACAUGUUGUUUCGACUCUGCAGUAUGCCAGUCAGCUUUGCCAUGGUUGCCUGUGCUCCCAAACGACGACGACUCCGACAGCACACUGCUACGUUCAUCUUUGCCUUUUCACAGACGCUCAGCAGAAACUACCUCGCGAGUGAAGUAGGGAUCGUGAUCUCAGCAAAGGAUGCAAGGUUCCCUCCCCAUGGUGAGCUACUCCGAUUACAAUCCGGUGCAACAACAGAUGUUAUCAGUGCCAGAGGUGACACUAAUCCUGGGCUUCUUCCAUAAACAUUUCUGGAGACACUUGCUGAUGAGGUGGAUGGCAGCUCUGCACUGAAGGCAGCUGUUACUCAGGGAGCCCCUGCCACUUUGCUGUGCAAGAUGGACUCCGCACAGCCUAAAUUUUGUGUCAGUGCAAUUUUUCAUAUGCAACACAUACAGAGGCCCAAACUGUUCCCUACACUAUUCUUUUUCUUUUGGAGCCAGAGAACUUUGUGAGCCUACCUUCUAACCAAACAACGCACCUUUACGCCACAGCGGCAACAUCAAUGGAACUUAAAGUAGUAUCUGCAACACAGUCUAUUCUGCUAAAAUGAAACUUUGAAGCAUUCCCUCUCUCGCUCUCCCUAUACUUCAGCUGUACAGAAAUCGAGAGUUUUGCUUCUGCUAAAGCAUUUUUUGGAAUUUUUUGAUUAGAUGUAUUUCCUUAGAAAUGUUGGUUUAUAGAAAUGUAACUCUUCACAAAACCAAGACGACCUCCUUGGACCCUCUGUUAAUUUUAGUAGUUAAAUCACCCAGUGGGAUGUGGAAGUUCAAAGACUUCAGCCUCAAUUCUUUCCAUCCCUCUUUUGUGACCUGAUAGCUCCACAAUAGCCCAGAGUUGGGCAUAAACCUUUCAGUAUCUUGUGUGAAACUCUUCCAUUUCCAGCAAAUAAUUUGGUGGGAUACAGGGAUAAUCAAAUAUUCUUAAAGAAUCCAGGCAAAUGUAGGAGGCCAAAAUUGAGAUCCCUGCUCCAAUGAGGCAUGGCAGAGACCUCAGUUUGACUUGUCACAUUAGAACCUUAACCACAGUAUUACUGUGCUUAAC